AACAACAACAAAAUCCAAUCAUCAACAUCUGCAGAGAGCUCCCUGGGCUAAGCAGUUAAGCAUUUGUUCUGAAUGCACUGUAAUGGUUACUAGCUUGACUUUAAAGACAAGUAAGACCUGGUUUUGAUCCAAGUCUAUCAGUUAAUUUGUACCAGGUGGUCAUUUAAUGCCUCCAUGUUUACUUAGUUCUGAAACCUAGGCACAUCUCCCCUCAGCAUCUCACUAAGUAGAGGAGGUAGCUCCUAUUAUGGGGGAUAACAACAGACAUGAGAAUACGUGUAGAAAUACAUGACCAUAUUCAAGUGAGGUAUUAGAAACGUAGACCUAAGAAGCAAUGAGCUCAGAGAACAUAUUUUUGUAAAUGGUCAUUUUUAAAUUCUCAUACAUGUCAAAUGAUCCUUCCUGUCUAUAUAAAGUAUACUGGGUGGAACAAUGUCACUUACAAUGUCAUAUUCUCCAGAACCUCGCAGGUAUAACAGUAUUUGGAGCUAGGGUUUCACAGCUGUGAGUACUUAGAAGGAAUUUUUACUAGGUUGAGUAUGUGAGCCCCAAGUGUCCAAACUGGUAUUCUAGAUUCACAUGAAUAAAAGCACACAGAACAGGGAACAGGAAAGGGCCAAAUGAUCACAGGAGCUUAGAAUAACAGUUUUAGCCAUGGAAGGACAAAAACUGCCACCACGACAAGAACCUGGGAGACAGGGUCACCAGCCCUUACACAGAGCCUGAGGAGCAGUGCUGCAUCUGAUUUUAGGUUUCUUCUUCUUCAGAACUAUCAGUGAAUUUGUUGUCCUGAGCUACCCAUGUGUGGCAAUCUACUAUAGGGAAAACUAGUACAAGCUCAAGAUGUCAGAAUACUAUUCACAAAUGGAAUCAUGUGAGAAGUCCCAGUGCUUAUGAGAAAACUCCAAGAAAAGAAGGGUCAUGUAACCCCGGUUUCUCCAAAAAACACAGGGACUGCUCUUGGAUUGUGCUCUCGUGCCCUUUCCAGUAUAGUAAAUAGGAAUGAGUUCACUUCAGAUUACUCAUUACAGUUGGCUAUUGCGUGAUACUUCAGUCUGCCUCAUUUACCAGCUCUGUUCUCCCAGAUCCUGCUGCCUUUCAAGUGGUACAAGUGAAUCAUGAAUCAGGGAUCUGAGAAUAAUGGGGCAGAAGCCAGGGAAGUCUUUGCCUUGUACCAAGCUUGGGCAUCAGUUUUUAAAGAAAGGCCGAACACAGUAUUAAUCUAAUAAUUACAAAAUUAAUGCAAUAAUUAAUCAAAUAAUCAAUCUAAUAAUCACAAAUAUUAGAUUGCUUGCAAGUUGCUUAUGAUUAUAAUCCCUGGUUCCCAGUAAAAGGAACUUUAGAAGAAGAAGUAUGGGACAGAGUCGGAAAGAAUAUUAAAACACAUAUGAACAAGGAGAAAACCAUCAUUCAAUCUUGGCACAAGCCAUUGGUGAGUGUUACAGAACUCUGGAUUUUCAAAUUUCAUUUGCAGAUCACUACAGAAGGAUAGGGAAUCAGUGUCCAGUGGUAAGCUAUGGAAUUUCAUCAUACAAACUGAAUUUGUGAUUACAAAAAUUGUCCAACCAUUUCCCAUUUCACAGGCAGAUACUUAUUUUAUUGAUAGUUCAUCUAAUGGUAUAGGAGGGAUUCAUGGUCCAGAUAUUCAUCAAUAUUAACACUUCCUUUUCCUCAGCCCCAUAGAGGAAUCGAUUGUCCUGAUUUGUCUAUUACAGUUAAUUCAUAAGCCAUUAAGUAUCAUUUCAGAGUCUGUUUAUGCUGUAAGAUUAUUUCCAGCAAUAGACUCAUACUUGUACUUUUCAUGGUUUUAUUGCAUAAGGAAAUAGGUAAACGGAUACAUUAACCUGCCCUAUUUUUACUUUUUCUGGAAGGAAACUGGAAAGGGGGACACAUCUGUCAUUGCAGAUGGAUCCACUAAAGCAUUAUGGAUUCUUCUUCAGCUCUUCCAGUCCCAGGCCAUCAAGGACAAUGGCAGAGGGUGAGGAAACAACAGAGGUCACCAGAAAGAUAGAAAAUCCUCACUAAAGGGCAAAAGGAGAUAUCGACCACAUCAUCAGUAUCUGUCCGCCUGGAGUCAAGUACAGCCCUAGGCACCAAGGAAAAGUUAUUCUACUAAUGAUUCUGUGUUUAGGACUGGUUGUUGGGACCACAACAGACUCAUUCAUUCAUCUGAAGAAGGGAUUACAUUUAAUUUUUCCUUGGGAUCUGAAACAUUCCCCAUUUGCAUAGGAUAUAACAUUUAUAUUCCUAUUAAAGAAGAAAAUUGGCUUAA